rnacentral:tRNA from 1 species
GUUCUUAUAGUAGAAGCACUACGGUAGUUUUUCAGACUAUAGGUCCGAGUUAGAGUCUCGGUAAGAACA